rnacentral:rRNA from 1 species
CCGCGGAAGAGAUGGACAGACUAGAGUUUGGACGAGGCAAGUGGAAUUGCUGGUGUAGGGGUUAAAUCCGUUAAUAUCAGCAGGAACACCAAAUGCGAAGGCAACUUGCUAGGACAAUACUGACGCUAAGGUACGAAAGCGUGGGGAGCGAAUGGGAUUAGAUACCCCAGUAGUCCACGCCGUAAACGAUGGAUGCUAAGCAUUGGAAGUUUCGACCCUUUCAGUGCUGUCUACUUAAGUUAACACGUUAAGCAUCCCGCCUGGGGAGUACGAGCGCAAGCUUAAAACUCAAAGGAAUAGACGGGGACCCGCACAAGCGGUGGAGUAUGUGGUUUAAUUCGACGAUAAGCGAGAAACCUCACCUAGGUUUGAAAUAUAGCUGCAAGUCCUGGAAACAGGAUCGCCUUCGAGGGUGCUAUACAGGUGCUGCAUGGUUGUCGUCAGCUCGUGUCGUGAGAUGUACCGUUAAGUCGGAAAACGAGCGCAACCCCUAUCCUAUGUUUUACAUGUCAUAGGAAACUGCCCGCCUUAAGU